rnacentral:rRNA from 1 species
GACGAACGCUGGCGGCGUGCUUAACACAUGCAAGUCGAACGGAAAGGCCCUGCUUUUGUGGGGUGCUCGUGUGCCGAACGGGUGAGUAACACGUGUGUAACCUGCCCUUGUCUUUGGGAUAUCUUCAGGAAACUGGGGCUAAUAUCGGAUAGGAGUUCCUGCUGCAUGGUGGGGGUUGGAAAGUUUCGGCGGUUGGGGAUGGACUCGCGGCUUAUGAGCUUGUUUGUGGGGUAGUGGCUGACCAAGGCUUUGACGGGUAGGCGGCCUGAGAGGGUGACCGGGCACAAUGGGACUGAGAUACGGCGCAGACUCCAAUGGGAGGCAGUAGUGGGGAAUAUGACACAGUGGGCGGAAGCCUGAUGCGGAGACGUCGCGUGCGGGAUGACGGCCUUCUGGGUGUGAACCGCUGUCGCCUGUGACGAAGCGUGAGUGACGGUAAUGAGUAAAGAAGCACCGGCUAACUACGUG